CUCCUACGGGAGGCUGCAGUGGGGAAUUUUACACAAUGGGCGAAAGCCUGAUGUAGCAACGCCGCGUGGAGGAUGACGGAUUUAGGUCUGUAAACUCCUUUUAUAAGGGAAGAAAUUUGACGGUACCUUAUGAAUAAGCACCGGCUAACUCCGUGCCAGCAGCCGCGGUAAUACGGGGGGUGCAAGCGUUACUCGGAAUCACUGGGCGUAAAGGGAGCGUAGGCGUUCUAUUAAGUCUUGAGUGAAAGCCUGCAGCCUAACUGCAGAACUGCUUGGGAAACUGAUAGAAUUGAGUAUGGAAGAGGUCAGUGGAAUUUCCGGUGUAGGGGUAAAAUCCGUAGAUAUCGGAAGGAAUACCAGAAGCGAAGGCGACUGACUGGGACAUUACUGACGCUGAGGCUCGAAAGCGUGGGGAGCAAACAGGAUUAGAUACCCUGGUAGUCCACGCCCUAAACGAUGAACACUAGUCGUUACGGAGCUAGUCUCUGUAGUGACGCAGCUAACGCAUUAAGUGUUCCGCCUGGGGAGUACGGUCGCAAGAUUAAAACUCAAAGGAAUAGACGGGGACCCGCACAAGCGGUGGAGCAUGUGGUUUAAUUCGAAGAUACGCGAAGAACCUUACCAAGGC
rnacentral:rRNA from 1 species